rnacentral:lncRNA from 1 species
CCGGAUUGCCUCGUGUCGUUCAUCUGAGCGCUCCUAGAGCUGUAUAAAUGUUCCCCUUAUUUCGUUGACGAACCCUAGCCCCCGAAAUUCCCCUAUCCCACUCGUGUUUCUCCACUGAACCUCAUGCCGGAGAUGUUGUCACUGCGCCUUCGUCGAUCCUGCGGCCACUGACUCCCCAUCGCUGCAUCGCCAUGUCCAUGAGGUUCUCCGUCGUCUGCUUCAUCGUCUCCAACACCGGAUCGAGCCCGGGGAACCACACGGACAACGCCCAUGUCUUCUUCUUCACCAAAGACCGUCCCGGCCAUCGCCGUCGAUCUCCACCACUGGUGCCUCCCGGCCUCGCCGAGCUCGUCCACAGCCUCCCCAGGGUGAGCCUCCGCCCAUUCCCCCUUUCUUCCCCUCUCCACGGCCACCGCGGCUUGCCCUGCUUGCCCCGCGUGACCACUGGCACCCCCCGAAAGCCCGCGCAGCCGCCAGUGCCAGGACGCGCCUACCACCGCACCCGCGCCAACUUCUGGCCACGCGCUCGUCCGCCCGCUUCGCCCAGCGCGCCUGCAAUGCCCUCUCCCGCCUUUGCCAGCCGCACGCUACCUCCUGCCGCAACCCCCUGCGGACGCCCGUGUCCCCCUGCCCAGCACGCCUCGCGCCGGACGGCGCUCGCCGCCCCCUUCCUCUAGCUGUUGCGACUGCUGCCAUGUUGCCUCGGCCGCUGAUUGCCGCUGCUGCCUGGCUACUCCCCUGCUCCCGCCAGUGCUCCCCAUCGCUGGCCGCCGGCGCCCUGAGCCCGUUUGCGCCCGUGUCCGGCUGGCUCUCUGUAUUAGGGGCCAACCCUGUUAGAUUAGUUAGAGAUAAGUUAGUUGUUAAUUAGUAUAUGUAUCACUAACAAGUGGACCUUCUAUUAGUUACAGAAGAAGAACAAAUUGAAAAUAAAUGUCUAAGGGAAUGACAUGUGGGUCCCCAUGACCCUGUUGACCGGUCAACAUUGACCCAGUCAACGCUGACUGAACUAGUUGACUGGGCCCUGGACCCCACCUGUCAUACACUCGCUGGUUAAUCCAGUGGGUACACUUAGGAAUUUUUGUUUAUUUCGAAUUAAUAUUAAAUCCAUGAAUUUUCAGAAUAUUGAUUAGAACUUCAGAAAAUCAUAUAAAUUAAACCGUAGCUCGGAUCAAAAAACUUUCUAUAUGAAAGUCGAUCAGAAAAAUAUGACGAAUCCGAAUAUGCCAUUCGUUCAUCUGUCAGAUGCCCCUAGCAUAGCAAACAUGGAUAUGUCCCCUCUGAUUCAUUUGUCCGGAAAAUGCCAAACGCUAGGAAAAUAUUCCUGGAUGUUUUCCCUCUUCAUCUGCAACGUGUAGCAUUGCGUUAGUCCACCCCUAGCACCGCGUAUUGCCAUGUUAUACUUUGUGUUGCUUCAUUGCUUUAUUAUUUAUUUGUGUUCCCCCUCCGUUACUUCUUUCCGGUAGACCUCAAGACCGUCGCCGAUACCCCCGUGAUCGACUACAUCGACGACGACCCCUCCUUCUUGCCAGAGCAACCAGACAAGCACCCCCCUUUUGAGCAUACCGAUAUCUCCUACUCUAUCUCUCUUAUGCUUGCAUUAGAAUCUGCUGCUACUACUGUUAUCCUAUUUCUGCUGCAUAGCCUGUUUAUUUAACCUGCCGUUGUUACCUACCUACCUAUCCUAAACUGUUUAGUAUAGGCUGGGUAGAGACCCAUCAGGGACCCCCACUUUGUCCCGACUGCCCAGCUGGAUUAUCAGAAGACCCGAUCAACGGGAUCGAAGACCAGGCCCCGGCACCGCACAUCACUUUCCCCUUAGUUGCUCGACACUACUGGGUUACUAUCGAGUGCCGAGGGUGAUACCUCAUCAGCACUGCUGAUGUUAACCUUGUAGGUUAGUUCAUCGGUUAUGGUCAUCGAGGGUGAUUCCUCCUUCUCCACUCCCGAUAACGACACUGUCGUGCAACUCCACAAGAGUGGACCUCGAGGGUGAUUCCUCCUUCGUUCACCUUGACGAUAACAUCAGGUGGAAUUCCAUCGAGGGUGAUUCCUUAGGGUUCCCCUUGGUGUUAGACACACCAUUACUAUGGUUAAUAUGACUUUACACUCAACCAUGUUACUAAAGACGGGUCGGCCCUAAGGGGUACCCGUGUGAGCUUAAUUGCGAGUGAUGUGGAGUCAGGUUGACCUGGAAGGUGCCCGUGAGAUAACUACAUGGCAUGGCCGGGCAUUCUUAGCCCUUGCCGCAAGUCCUCGAGACGGGGCGACGGGGUCACAUCGAUCGUCAGUCUCUGCUCGUUACCGCGCGCUCCACUACGAUUUGGAUAUUUGAUCCGAGGGGCCUCUGGCCUGAUAGCACUAACCAUCACAUGGGCACAAUAUGGGUGUUCUGCGCCGUAUGCAUCAGCCGAAGCUUAAUAGACGUCAGCGACUAAGCGGCGCGCGCCAGGUUGGACUGCGUAAGCACCUGCCUUUUUAAGGAGGUAGCUAGGUCUGCUCAUCGGCCGCAUACCCAACAUGCAGGAAUGCAAAGGGCGAUGGGCCCGUGACCCCUGCGCGCUUAGGAUGUAGACCAGCGUGAUGACCUCUCUAUUAAGCCUAGGUCGGGUUGCGGCGUAUCGUUUGGCCGAGGCCGGGCAUGACCCGGUAAAGUGUGUCGGACCGGAGUUAAUCGAGCGUGGUGGGUAAGUUGGUGCACCCCUGCAUGGAAGAAAACAUCUAUUGAUAGCCUGUCCUACGGUAACAGACACUUGGAGUUGUAUCCCGAUCGAUACAACUAGAACUGGAUACUUGAGAUGAGAAAUGGAUAGUAUGGCUCUGGGAUUGCUUUCUCGCAGGGAGUCGAUGAAGGAUCUCUGGGCGAGGUUGAUGACACUACUACUACUUUACUUUAUGCUAUGCACUCUUCUAAUGCUGCAAGACCACUAAAGAUGCUGAAGAUGUUAGUCUUCGAUAGGACUAGGCUCUCCCCUCUAUUCUGGCAUUUCUACAUCCCAGUCCACAUAUACAGUCUUCCUUUGAUAAUCCUGCAUAUGUAGUGUAGAUCCUUGCUUGCUGAGUACUUAGGAUGAGUACUCACGUUUGCUUUUCUUUCUUUUUCCCCAUAUCUGUUUGAUGCAACCAGAUGACGGAGCCCCUGAGAGCGCUGCCAUCGCCGACGACUACUACUACUAGCCCGAGGGUGCCUUCUACCACGUGGCGGACACCGACGACCAGGAGUAGUUAGGAGGCUCCCAGACAGGUGGCCUUGCCUUUUCGAUCGUUGUUAAUUUUGUGCUAGCCUUCUUAAGACAGACUUGUUUAACUCAUGUCUGUACUUAGAUAUUGUUGCUUCCGCUAACUCAUUUGUAUUCGAGCUUAUGUAUUUGAGCUCUCGAGACCCUGGCUUGUAAUAUAAAGCUUGUAUUAUUAUUUUAAUUUGGGUCUAGAGUUGUGUUGUGAUAUCUUCCCGUGAGUCCCUGAUCUUGAUCGUACACAUUUGCGUGUAUGAUUAGUGUAUGAUUGAAUCGGGGGCGUAACAUUCACCACUUCCAUUGGUGCCUCUCCUAUGAUGCGUGAGUAGUUCUUUGUAGACCUAUGGGUCCGUAGUUAGUAGUUAGAUGGCUUCUUCUCUCUCUCUCUCUUGAUUAUCAAUACAAUGGUCUCUUGGAGAUCCAUCUGAUGUAAGUCUUUUGGCGGUGUGUGUUUUGGGAUCCGAUGAACUUUGAGUUUAUGAUCAGAUCUAUGUUUUUAUCCAUGAAAGUUAUUUGAG